rnacentral:rRNA from 1 species
UACGUAGGGGGCAAGCGUUGUCCGGAUUUAUUGGGCGUAAAGAGCGUGUAGGCGGCUUGGCAAGUCUGCUGUGAAAACUCGAGGCUCAACCUCGAGCUGUCGGCGGAAACUGCUUGGCUAGAGUCCGGAAGAGGAGAGUGGAAUUCCUGGUGUAGCGGUGAAAUGCGCAGAUAUCAGGAAGAACACCUAUGGCGAAGGCAGCUCUCUGGGACGGUACUGACGCUGAGGCACGGAAGCCAGGGGAGCAAACGGG